rnacentral:rRNA from 1 species
AGCGAACGCUGGCGGCAGGCCUAACACAUGCAAGUCGAACGAUCCUUUCUGUUUUAGUGGCGGACGGGUGAGUAACACUUGGGAACGUGCCUUUAGGUUCGGAUUAUCUCAGGGAUACUUUUUCUAAUACCGAAUUUGCCCUUCGUGGUAUAUAUUUUUCGCCUUUUUAUCGGCCCGCGCUGGAUUAGCUAGUUGUUUGCGGGAAUGGCUCACCAAGGCUACGAGCAGUACCUGUUCGGAGAGGAUUAUCAUCGACAUUGGGACUGAGACACGUCCCAAACUCCUACGGGAGGAAGCAGGGGGGAAUCUUGCGCAAUGGGCGAAAGCCUGACGCAGCCAUGCCGUGUGAAUGAAGAAGGUCUUAGGAUUGGAAAAUUCUUUCACCGGGGAAGAUAAUGACGGUACCCGGAGAAGAAGCCCCGGCUAACUUCGUG